GCGGCGAAUGCCGAAGGGAUUACAUCGACUGUAAAUCGCCAGGUCGCGGGUUCGAAUCCCGUCAGGUCCAUCACUGGGGGCCUGUAGCUCAGCAGGUAGAGCAGGAAACAAUCUCUUCAAAUCCUUGUCGCCGUGAC
rnacentral:Y_RNA from 1 species